AAUAAAAUGGAGCAGUAGCUCCAAAAUAACAGAUUUUUUUGGAAUCCAUAUUAGACAUUUUAGCUCCACACUAACAGAAACUUCACUAAAUACUUGUAUUACAGAAAAUUUUUUUGGAAUCCAUAUAAUCUGCCAUAUUACAGAAAAUUUAUAUUUGUGACACACAAAUGGACAACUAUAAUGUCCACCACAAAAUUAAAUUAAAGAAGAAAUAAAAUGUCUUCAAUGCAAAUAACGCCGCAAGAUGGAGUCCGAAUACGGAAAAUUUCUUCGUCGCCUUGUGAGUGGAUGGUAGUCUACCUAUCCGAAGUAAAGACCUUCGAGGAUCAUUCGAACCAUAACCCCCUUUUCGGACUCAUUUAAUUCGAAAAAUAUGUCGAGGUCGGUUGGGCUAUUGCAAACGGCUUUAGCGACGGUGAUCUUAUCAUCAUCGACACCUAAGAAUAACGGCGAUAGGGCAUCCAACACCUUCUUACGUGUAGUGGACGCAUCGUGCUCAAAACCGAUACGGUGGGCCACAUCGUGCUCAAAACCUUCUUACAUAUAACAGUAUAUAACAAUAUAUAACAAUAUUUACUGUAAAAAACAAUAUAUAAUAGAACAAUGACCAAUAGACCUGCAAAAUUAUCAAUUGAUUGGAUCUAUUUUCAGUCAUUUCCUGUUCGAAUUCAACAAUUGUAAAUCCUACAACAUUUCCUCAAGCAUAAAAUUUGAUCAUUACUCCAAAAACUUCAGCUUUUAUUAACAUUGGAUUCAACAAAUGUAUGAUCUACUACUUUCCCGAAAUAAAAAUUUCAUAUUUAUUCCAAAAACUGCACCUUUUCCAAACCUUGCAUUCUAACAAAAAACAAUACAAAAGGGGGCAACUAAAUUUCAAUUGAAGUCUGGACAAACCCAAAGGUUUUUUUUUUUUCUUCCAAAAAAUGGUUAUUUUCCAGUUAAGUUCAUUCUGUUCCGAUUAAGUUACCCGAUACAGACAACUUCGGAUAUAGACACAUACAAUGUGUUCAAACAUACAACUUGAACACAAAUGAGGCCCAUAUAUAUUCACCUUUAUAUGAAAAUUAACAGCACAUAUUUUCUUCACUAAGACAUAAAUACUCUUCCAAACAAUAGAAUGUAAAGUUAAUCUGAAAAUUAACAGCACAUAUUUUCUUCACUAAGACAUAAAUACUCUUCCAAACAAUAGAAUGUAAAGUUAAUCAGUUAUAUGUUUAAUCGAUAAUGGAGGGAGCGCUCAAGUAGCCGAGCCGAGCCGGCGGGGGUUCCAAUGCGAAACAGAUUCAUCAGACGACUAGACAUGCAAGCUGCUCUCAUCUGCAACACUGUAAACAACUACGGUUCGAAUCCCCAACCUCUUGGCAGUUCGAUCCUGCACGCAAUUUUGCCUCUAUUCGCGAUCGCUAUCUUCACAAUUCUCGCACUUGUUGGGUUGAUUAAUUUCUGCCAAUUAGAUGAGAAUUCUCUGAAUCGAAGAGGUAGAGGUCUGGUUUUUCGAUGGAUUAGAUAGGUUAAGGACGAACGACACGCAGUGGGAAGUGUAGUAUGUGUGUGAAAACUCCGAUGAUUUUUUGGGGCUGAAUAAAUCGAUAUAUAUAUGGUGUGGUGUAUAUUUGUAAAUAUGAAUAAAUGGUC
rnacentral:lncRNA from 1 species